UACGGGGGGAGCAAGCGUUGUUCGGAUUUACUGGGCGUAAAGGGCGCGUAGGCGGUCAGCACAAGUCAGUUGUGAAAUCUCCGGGCUUAACUCGGAAAGGUCAACUGAUACUGUGCGACUAGAGUGCAGAAGGGGCAACUGGAAUUCUCGGUGUAGCGGUGAAAUGCGUAGAUAUCAGAUAGAACACCAAUGGCGAAGGCAGUUGCCUGGCUCAAAACUGACGCUAAAGCACGAAAGUGUGGGGAGCAAACAGG
rnacentral:rRNA from 1 species